rnacentral:rRNA from 1 species
CCCAGACUCCUACGGGAGGCAGCAGUGGGGGAUAUUGCACAAUGGGGGGAACCCUGAUGCAGCGACGCCGCGUGGGUGAAGGAGCGUUUCGGCGCGUAAAGCCCUAUCGGCAGGGAAGAAGGAGGACGGUACCUGACUAAGAAGCCCCGGCUAACUACGUGCCAGCAGCCGCGGUAAUACGUAGGGGGCAAGCGUUAUCCGGAUUUACUGGGUGUAAAGGGGGCGCAGACGGCAGCGCAAGCCAGGAGUGAAAGCCCGGGGCCCAACCCCGGGACUGCUCUUGGAACUGCGCGGCUGGAGUGCAGGAGGGGCAGGCGGAAUUCCUGGUGUAGCGGUGAAAUGCGUAGAUAUCAGGAGGAACACCGGUGGCGAAGGCGGCCUGCUGGACUGCGACUGACGUUGAGGCCCGAAAGCGUGGGGAGCAAACAGGAUUAGAUACCCCCGUACCC